rnacentral:rRNA from 1 species
GAAAGAUUCAUCGGAAGAGGAUGGGCAUGCGGCGCAUUAGCUAGACGGCGGGGUAACGGCCCACCGUGGCGACGAUGCGUAGGGGUUCUGAGAGGAAGGUCCCCCACACUGGUACUGAGACACGGACCAGACUCCUACGGGAGGCAGCAGUGAGGAAUAUUGGUCAAUGGGAGAGAUCCUGAACCAGCCAAGCCGCGUGAGGGAAGACGGCCCUAUGGGUUGUAAACCUCUUUUGUCGGAGAACAAAACCCGGGACGUGUCCCGGACUGCGUGUAUCCGAAGAAAAAGCAUCGGCUAACUCCGUGCCAGCAGCCGCGAUAAUACGGAGGAUGCGAGCGUUAUCCGGAUUUAUUGGGUUUAAAGGGUGCGUAGGCGGUCCGUUAAGUCAGCGGUAAAAUUGCGGGGCUCAACCCCGUCGAGCCGUUGAAACUGGCAGACUUGAGUUGGCGAGAAGUACGCGGAAUGCGCGGUGUAGCGGUGAAAUGCAUAGAUAUCGCGCAGAACUCCGAUUGCGAAGGCAGCGUACCGGCGCCAGACUGACGCUGAGGCACGAAAGCGUGGGGAUCGAACAGGAUUAGAUACCCUGGUAGUCCACGCAGUAAACGAUGAAUGCUGGUUGUCCGGGUCGAAUGAGAUCUGG